rnacentral:rRNA from 1 species
GACGAACUGUCCAAACGUUGUUCGGAAUCACUGGGCUUAAAGGGCGCGUAGGCGGUCUGGUAAGUCGGGGGUGAAAUCCUGCAGCUCAACUGUAGAAGUGCCUUCGAUACUGCCGGUCUGGAGGGAGAUAGGGGUGUGCGGAACUUCCAGUGGAGCGGUGAAAUGCGUUGAUAUUGGAAGGAACGCCGGAGGCGAAAGCGGCGCACUGGAUCUCUUCUGACGCUGAGGCGCGAAAGCUAGGGGAGCAAACGGG